rnacentral:tRNA from 3 species
GGCCCCUUAGCUCAGUUGGAUAGAGCACCUGCCUUCUAAGCAGGUUGUCGCAGGUUCGAGUCCUGCAGGGGUCGCCA